CCUACGGGAGGCUGCAGUGGGGAAUAUUGCGCAAUGGGCGAAAGCCUGACGCAGCAACGCCGCGUGAGGGAAGACGGCCUUCGGGUUGUAAACCUCUUUCAGCAGGGACGAAGCGAAAGUGACUGUACCUGCAGAAGAAGCGCCGGCUAACUACGUGCCAGCAGCCGCGGUAAUACGUAGGGCGCAAGCGUUGUCCGGAUUUAUUGGGCGUAAAGAGCUCGUAGGCGGUCUGUCGCGUCGGAUGUGAAAACCCGGAACUCAACUCCGGGCCUGCA
rnacentral:rRNA from 1 species